AUUUAAAUAGUUUAAUAGAAAAUUUUAAUUUGUGGGAUUAAAGAUAUAAGUUUAUUUAUUUUAAAUA
rnacentral:tRNA from 1 species